AUAUAUAUACAUAUUUUAUAUAAACAUAAAUAUUUUAUUAGAUAAAUAAACUACAAGGGCUCAGUUUUAUAUGAAUUUUCAAUUGUAAAGUCUUAUAAAAAUUAUAAAUUGUAAAAUUGUUUAACAAAAUAUAAUUUUUGAUGGUCCAAAAAUCUUUUUGCCCUAGGUUCCAUAAAAAUAUUGAACCGGCCGGUCCAUCAAAGAAAGUGUUGAAAGUAACAUACACAAGUUGAGCAAUGAGUUUAUAAAGUUGCUGGUAAUACGCCUAUACUGAAACGUGUAAUAUCAACAUGUGGGUAAUUUGAAGGGGUCCCAGAACUAGAAGGAUCCGUGUGUAACGACAGGCUGAGAUUAAACGGCAGGAGAGUAGAGUAGGUGAAAUGUCGAUGACUACUUAAAGUUUUGCCUUGCUCAAUUAGGUGAUAGCAACUUCCGAAUCUCAAGCGUGGCUCCCUUUUUCAGCUUAAUAUUUUUUUUUUCUAUUUUAUCAAUUUUUUUACACAUUUACUUAUUAUAAAUUUUGGCUCAGACAUAGCAACAAAAUUGCAUAUUAUGUCAUGUAAAACUUCAGAGCAAUAAAUUUAUAGUUUAUAAACUUCUAUAAUCAGAACUGGAAAAUUGUCGACAAAAAAAUUCAAAACAUAUUCUUACAUUAUUAGAAAUGGAAAAUUGUUUACAAAAAAAAUUCAAAACAGUAAAUUUUUAUACUUUUAUUAUUAGAAAUGGAAAACUGGAGAAACCUGUUACCUUAUUAAUAUUAUCGUAUAAAAACUUUGAAACGAAACUGUAAGACGAAAAUUAUCAGAAAAGAAAAUUAGAAAUACAUAAAUGUGAAAGCGAAAAGGUAGGAGAAGAGUUAAAUGGAGAGAAUCUCUAAAUGUGUAGAAACUUCCAGCUUCAUGGCUGUAAGUAAUUUUAGGACCAUUUUCAGCUUUCUCUUUUACCCACUAUACCCAGUUUCCACUUUCUGUCACCGUUUGUAACCAGUACAUCACUCUCCUCCAUUAUAAAUCUGAGUCACAUACACAUCCUCACUGCUUACUUACACAGCACGUCAUACUUCUUCUUCUUCGUCUAGGAGAAGAAGAUGAGAAAAUGUUGACAGAAGAAAGAGAGCACAAGCCGGGAUUAGCAAAAAGAGAGUUUUGCCCUUGUCGGGAGUGUGCUCUCUUUACUUCUGCCACCAUCAUCGCGUGUGAGCGUAAGUUAGCGUUAUAUACACACUUUAGAAACUAUGCAUGCUUCAGCAAGGUUGCUUCAGUGUCAAAGAAGGCCACAUACAUGAUGAUCAAGACCUUCUAUAUAUAUAUAUAUAUAUAUCUAUAUGACUAUAUAUAUACUUCCUACUCUUCAUCAACUUUGAACUAGGGUUUGUUUUGAUUGCUCUGUAGUAUCACCAUUCCAAAAAUAGAUCUGAAACCUUCAUUUUUAAUCAACUUGCAUGAAUUCUAAGAUGGAUUAUGAAAUGAUAAACCUUUGAUAAUCAUGUUUUACUGAUCUUGAAACUGGUUUCCUAUGUAAAACUAGAUGAGCUUUUGGUCUGGACUCAGAGAUGGGUUUAUAUGAAUUGAAAAACCUAAUCGUUCAUUAAUAUAAACUCAUUGAACCAAAGACCAAACACAUUGUUAAUCAGCGCCGGCUCAACUUUUUUCAAGGCCCCGGGGAAUUGUUUUUUUAAUGAAGCUUUAGGAAAAUAUUGUAUUCUAAAUAAAAUUUCAACAUAACAAAUUUUGAAACUAUUUUAUAUGAGAAUUUGGUAUAAGUUUCGAAAAUAAGUAAAAGAAAAUUUAUAUACAUAGUGUAUUUGUUCUUAAAUUAAUUUUAUUCAAAAAUAUUCAGCUAAACUGUUUAAAAAAUUAUAUUACCUGAGUAAAAAUAUUUAAGGGCCCUUUUUAUUUGUGGGCCCUGAGACAUUGCACUCUUUGCCCUACCACCGGCUCUUAUUGUUAUACAAAAUCACAAACCAAUUAUUUAAAAAAAAAAUUAAGAUUCAACGUACACAAUGGCGUCUCCUUCUUCUGAAACAAUGUCACCAAGACUUAGUACACAAGAGAAAGAGAGUGUAGGUUUCGUCUUCGAUCGGAACCGAAGUAGGCUCAACCUCGUUGUUUAGUAUCUGAAGAACGCCAUCUCAUAGUCAGAUGAUCUCUCGUUACUAUCUAGAUGAGCACACAUUAGCCCAACGAGCAACAGCUUCUUCAGAAUUCCUCAUCAAACUGGCCUUUCAAUCUCUAAUCAACAGCUUUGACGACAACUCUUACUCCACUGUGUAAUCUCCAAACCCAGUCCACUAGAUUCACAGUCUUCUGGCCCUCUGGUUUUUUAUCUAUUGCCCUCUUUCCACAAGUGACCUCUGGAAUCAGCACUCCGUAGCUAAACGCAUCUGUUUUCUCAGUCGUCGCAGUGCCGUAUUGGAGAUACCCCAUCGUGACAGCAGUCAAUGUCGAGAGACUCGAGACGGGGCUUUUAUCGUGCUCAGUGAGCCAAGUAAGACCAAAAUCGCCGAGCCAAGCGUUAAGGUUUACGUCAAGCAUUAUGUUGCUUGUCUUUAUGUCUCUGUGAACCACUUGCUAGCUGCCAGUGCUGUGUAAAGGUUCAUAAAGACAUAAAGCAGUUUAAAAACUGGAGGCUUGUAUAUGUAAGUUAGAAUAUAUAAUCAAUAUAGCCUGUACAUAUAAACUUGGAACCUAUGAUUAUUUUCUUAGUUA